rnacentral:lncRNA from 1 species
AAUCUCUAGUUUUCUGUGUAGCUCUUUUGGUGACUCAUAGCUCGGAGGAGGUGUCUUUGGAUAGUUUUAACAUUUAUAAUAACUCCAUGGACAUCGUCCCACUCAGGAAGGCAUCUGUUUCUAACCUCGUUGUGACGUGUUGGGGAUCGACAAGGUCUAUCAUUGAGGGUUUCAAAGGGAGCCAUACCAAGGCUAGACUAGUGAUAAUUAUUAUAAGUGAACUCAUAGAGAGAUAGAUGUUGAUCCCAACAACUACCAAAAUCUAAAAUGCAGACGCAUAACAUGUCUUUUAUGGUCAGAAUAGUCUGCUUAAUCUAACUAGUAGUGUGGGAAUGUCCGGUAGUGCUAUGGUUUAGACUAAAAUCGACAACUUUCUGGAAGUUACCCCAAUAGUGCAGCACUAAAUGAGGGUCUCUAUCUAACACUAUG